AUUGAACGCUGGCGGCAUGCCUUACACAUGCAAGUCGAACGGCAGCACGGGAGCAAUCCUGGUGGCGAGUGGCGAACGGGUGAGUAAUAUAUCGGAACGUGCCCAGUCGUGGGGGAUAACGUAGCGAAAGCUACGCUAAUACCGCAUACGAUCUAUGGAUGAAAGCGGGGGAUCGCAAGACCUCGCGCGAUUGGAGCGGCCGAUAUCAGAUUAGCUAGUUGGUGGGGUAAAAGCUCACCAAGGCGACGAUCUGUAGCUGGUCUGAGAGGACGACCAGCCACACUGGAACUGAGACACGGUCCAGACUCCUACGGGAGGCAGCAGUGGGGAAUUUUGGACAAUGGGCGAAAGCCUGAUCCAGCAAUGCCGCGUGCAGGACGAAGGCCUUCGGUUGUAACUGCUUUGUACGGAACGAAAAGUACUGCCUAAUACGUGGGCGUCAUGACGGUACCGUAACGAAUAAGCACCGGCUAACUACGUGCC
rnacentral:rRNA from 1 species